GUGGAGCUCCAGCUUCAUGGUGCCAAAAACACUGGAUUCAUUGGAGGUGCUUAUUUUCUGCAUUUCGUGUGGAAGCUCAACUUCGAGAACUAAUCAGGAAGCUUAAACAGCAAAGUGAUUUCCCAAAAGAGACCUUUGAAGGCCCUAAACAUGAAGUACUACGAAGAUGUCUUUGUGCGGGCUAUUUCAAAAAUGUAGCUCGAAGAUCUGUUGGGAGAACGUUUUGCACAAUGGAUGGUCGUGGAAGCCCAGUUCACAUUCAUCCUUCCUCAGCAGUAAGUACUUCAUUUUUAAUAAAGGGAAGAAAUUUGUAAAGUUGUAGAAAUAAGUAAUAUACAAAUGUCUUCUACUUUUCACUUUGGAGUUAAAUUUACAUAUAUCUAUAUUACAUAGAUCUAUAAGGGUAUUGGUUGGCCCGUGCCUCCUGUUUGAAGAAGAUAGGAAUUAAUUGAGAAGGAUUUGGACUAUUUGGUUGGUCUAAUGUGGAAUAGGGCAGGUUAUUGAGUUACCAUCAUUAAAAGAAAUGUUUUGUAUAGCUUCAUGAACAGGAAACCAAACUUGAAUGGAUCAUUUUUCAUGAGGUAUUGGUUACCACCAAAGUCUACGCAAGAAUUGUAUGCCCAAUCCGUUAUGAAUGGGUAAGAGACUUGUUACCCAAGUUGCAUGAAUUUAAUGCACAUGAUUUGAGCAGUGUGGCCCGACGUGAAGUGAGAGAAGAUGCAAGAAGGAGAUGGACAAAUAAGGAAA
rnacentral:sRNA from 1 species